rnacentral:rRNA from 1 species
GACCUGGCUGGGCGGUCCGCUUAACGGCGUGUACUGUCUGGCUGGGCCUUACCUCUUGGUGAGCCGGCGUGCCCUUCACUGGUGUGCGUCGGGGAACCAGGACUUUUACCUUGAGAAAAUUAGAGUGUUCAAAGCAGGCGUAACUCGCCUCCGAAUACGUUAGCAUGGGAUAAUGGAAUA